GGAAAUGUGUGCCGGGGCUGGCACCGGGAACGCGGCCGCCGCCCGCCAGCCCCGGGGCCGUCCCCCGGAGGACACUUACCCGACACGGGGGCCGAGGCCAGCCCGCUCUGCGCGUCCAGCCAGUUGAGGCAGCGGAGGCCCGGCGCGGGGGAGGUCUGGUCCUCCCGGUACAGGUGGCCGUUGUCCCAGAAACAGCCUGUGAGGAAAAGAAGCCCCCGGACACAGAAUAGCGGGCAGCGAACGGAAGACGCCCAGCGUGGCGGACAGGGGAGCCGGGACCACCCGGGCUGAACCUCAGCCUGGUUAGGGGACCCCGGGCCCUGCUGGGCCUCCCUCUCCUCUCGUGGCAACACCCCCACGCCCCACGCACCCCCCCCCCCCAACUCCACGCACACCUCAGGGUGUGAAGCCCCCAGCCUGUGCCUGUCCCCCAGUCAACGCUCAGAGACUGUUAGGUUUUAUUUAUUUUUGAAACCUGGAAAGCGCUGCAGAAGUGCAAAGCGUUGUUACUCUUGAACUUGUGACCACUUUGGAGGAGGAGAUGGAGAGGAGGAGGCCUGGCUUAGGGUCCCUUUGAGGAGCUGGGAGUUUUGGGACGGGGGGCGCCCAGACGUGACAUUUGUCCCUGUGUUGUAAUGGCCACGUUACAUAAACUCCGGUGUUUCCUCCUUCACGGAUACGGCCACCUUCUGCCCGUUUAAAAGGCAAAUACUCCCUCCCAGGAGAAUUCUCCAGGAGCCUUGACUCCGUCAGGCAAAAGAUUCAAGACAGCCUCAAACGGAGGAAACCGGCCUCAUCGCUGACUGGAUGAGACUCCAAGCUCCCACUCCCCUCUGCAGGAGAACCACAGAAGGAGGCUGGGGAAGGAGGACCACACCAUGCAAAGGGCUUAGAAAGAACAGGACUUGGGGAGUAGGGGAGAUGAACCCCCAAGCUCCAUCCACUCAUGAGCAAGGAAAGGCAGAGAGAAAGUGGCUUCUUGCCUUUGUUCUUAAUGGCAAAGAUGGAGCUGCAAGCCCCUGACAAGGAAAGGAGGGGUGGAAAAGCUUUCACGGGACAACAGAAACCGGCUAAACGCUUCGUUUCCUGUCAUCCUGGCCCUGUUUGGGAAAUAGGGGGCUUUACCCCUUCUGUUUCAUGAAGUUGCUGCGGAAAGGAAAGAUUGUAAUCUCACCUCCAGAUCCAUAGGCUUCUGCUAGGAGCAUGUUGCUGACGAGGAAUGCUUGUACCCAGGCCAACAGCAUCCUUGCCUCCUUCGUCUUGCAGAGUCUCACUCCUCUGUCACCCAGGCUGGAGUGCAGUGGCAUACUCACGCCUCACUGCCGCCUCAACCUCCUGUGCUCAAGCGAUUCUCCCACCUCACCCUCCCGAGUAGCUCAGACUACAGGUGAGUGCCACCAUGCCCAGGUAAUUUUUUUGUAUUUUUUGUAGAGACAGGGUUUUGCCAUGUUGUCCAGACUGGUCUCAAACUCCAGGCUCAAGCAAUCCACUGGACUUGGCCUCCCAAAGUGCUGGGAUUAAAGGCAUGAGUGACCACACCUGGCCAUUAACCCACAUUUAAGAUCCCAAUUUCCAACUCUCCAUUCCCCAUUCCCCCAGCCCCUGGAAACCAUCAUUCUACUCUCUGACUCUAUAGUAUGAAUUUGACUACUCGAGGUAUGGC
rnacentral:lncRNA from 10 species